UAAAAGACAGAACCAUUUUUUCCCCCUUCUCAUCCUUCCUUCUGUUUUUUCAUUACAUAUUAUUAAAAUCAUAAAGUGCAUAAUUAAUUUUUGCAGAUGCAGCGCAUUUGGAGCUCAUUCAGAUAGUUAAUAAGGUGGCUCCGCAUUCAUCUGCCGCAGUCAGUCAGAUGGAAAAGAUCCUGGAAAAGUUGGGAGAACAGAUGAGAUGGAUGCAGACAUACAAGUAAACAGAAACACAGAACCAAUACAGCCAUGGAUGCCAAGAACAAACAAAUGGCAGCGAAAUGUAUGACACAUAAACACAAACCCAAACGUGGAAGUAUUUGACCUUUUCCUUCUCCCUGAUCCUAGCUUCAACAUGAAAGAGCAAAAACAAGCUCUUCCGCCCAUGAAGGUUGGGCUCGAGAUUGACAGUUGUUGUCUGACAGAAGCUUGUUCAUUUUAACCUCUUAAAAUGAGAGACUGAAAGCAAUGUCUUUGUGUUUUAUGUGCAAUAAACAGGAAAUUUUGGAUGUGUUUCCUCUUUAG
ensembl:lncRNA